rfam:Stegodyphus mimosarum contig171267, whole genome shotgun sequence.
GCCUUCGUGGUGUAGUGGCUAGCACGCUCGACCUCGUAACCUAGAGGUCCGUGGUUCGAUUCCCGGCGAAGGCG